UAAUACAGAGGUCUCGAGCGUUAGUCGGAAUCACUGGGCUUAAAGCGUGCGUAGGCGGAUGUGCAGGCGUCGUGUGAAAGCCCUCGGCUCAACCGGGGAAUUGCACGGCGAACCGCAUGUCUCGAGACAAGUAGGGGCGGUCGGAACGAUAGGUGGAGUGGUGAAAUGCGUUGAUAUCUAUCGGAACGCCAAAGGUGAAGACAGACCGCUGGGCUUGUUCUGACGCUGAGGCACGAAAGCGUGGGGAGCAAACGGGAUUAGAUACCCCGGUAGUCCACGCCCUAAACAAUGUGCACUAGAUCGAAGGAGGUACUGACGCCUUUUUCGGUCGAAGUAAAAACGUUGAGUGCACCGCCUGGGGAGUACGGUCGCAAGGCUA
rnacentral:rRNA from 1 species